GCAGUCGAACGAACUCUGGUAUUGAUUGGUGCUUGCAUCAUGAUUUACAUUUGAGUGAGUGGCGAACUGGUGAGUAACACGUGGGAAACCUGCCCAGAAGCGGGGGAUAACACCUGGAAACAGAUGCUAAUACCGCAUAACAACUUGGACCGCAUGGUCCGAGCUUGAAAGAUGGCUUCGGCUAUCACUUUUGGAUGGUCCCGCGGCGUAUUAGCUAGAUGGUGGGGUAACGGCUCACCAUGGCAAUGAUACGUAGCCGACCUGAGAGGGUAAUCGGCCACAUUGGGACUGAGACACGGCCCAAACUCCUACGGGAGGCAGCAGUAGGGAAUCUUCCACAAUGGACGAAAGUCUGAUGGAGCAACGCCGCGUGAGUGAAGAAGGGUUUCGGCUCGUAAAACUCUGUUGUUAAAGAAGAACAUAUCUGAGAGUAACUGUUCAGGUAUUGACGGUAUUUAACCAGAAAGCCACGGCUAACUACGUGCCAGCAGCCGCGGUAAUACGUAGGUGGCAAGCGUUGUCCGGAUUUAUUGGGCGUAAAGCGAGCGCAGGCGGUUUUUUAAGUCUGAUGUGAAAGCCUUCGGCUCAACCGAAGAAGUGCAUCGGAAACUGGGAAACUUGAGUG
rnacentral:rRNA from 2 species